AGAUUGAACGCUAGCGGGAUGCUUUACACAUGCAAGUCGAACGGCAGCGCGGACUUCGGUCUGGCGGCGAGUGGCGAACGGGUGAGUAAUAUAUCGGAACGUGCCCAGUAGCGGGGGAUAACUACGCGAAAGCGUGGCUAAUACCGCAUACGCCCUACGGGGGAAAGGGGGGGAUCGCAAGACCUCUCACUAUUGGAGCGGCCGAUAUCAGAUUAGCUAGUUGGUGAGGUAAAGGCUCACCAAGGCGACGAUCUGUAGCUGGUUUGAGAGGACGACCAGCCACACUGGGACUGAGACACGGCCCAGACUCCUACGGGAGCAGCAGUGGGAAUUUGGACAAGUGGGGGAAACCUGAUCCAGCCAUCCCGCGUGUGCGAUGAA
rnacentral:rRNA from 1 species